rnacentral:lncRNA from 1 species
AUGGCAGAUACAUCAAUACCCUUAAAUUCACUGCAGUUCAGCAAUGUGCCGAGGGAGGAAAAUGACGACACCCCAAAUAGGGAGACGACCUUUUCUGGACCAAUGCUAGAAAGCAGAGCAGAGGGCCAAAUUCUGCCUUCUAGUGUCCAGCCUAUGGUCUCAACUUCAGCAUCAGACCCUGGAGGGAUGUCCACACAGCUGAUGACAUCCCCAGCCUUUGACACCAUGGCUGCACCUCUAAUGGGAACAGCAAACUCUGGAGCUGUGUCCUCACCGCUCUUGUCAGACUCUGGGGCACUGUCCCCAUUGUUAAUGCCAACUUCGGAUUCAGAGGCUCUGUCCCCAUUGUUAAUGCCAACCUCAGACUCUGGGAUGCUGUCCCCAUUGCUAAUGCCAGCCUCAGAUUCUGGAACAUUGUCUCCAUUGCUGUCCACUUCAGAGUAUGGAUUAAUGUCCCCAGGGCUGAUGACGAUUCCUGACUUUGGAACAAUGUCCACAGGACUAACGGCAACACCAGAUUCUGAAGACAUAUCACCACUGGCAAUGUCAGCCUCAUCCUCUGAAGCAAUGGCCACACCAUUGAUGCUAGCCCCAGAUUCUGGAGAGCUCUCCCCCCUGCUAAUGCCAGAUAUUAACCCUGGAGAGAUGUCCACACAGCCAAUGCCAGCUCCAAGCUUUGAAGGAAUGUCACCAUUGCAAAUUACAGAUGAAGACACUGAAGCAAUGUCCAAAGUGCUAAUGACUGCCCUGGUCUCUGGAGAGAUCUCUUCACUGCUCAUGUCAGACACAGACUCUGAAGCGAUCUCCUCCCUGAUAAUGUCAGCCCUAACUUCUGAAGCAAUGUCCACCCAGCUAACGAGCACCCAAGAUUCUGGGGAAAUGUCCACCCAGCUAAUGUCAGGCCCAAACUCUGGAGUAGAGUCUUUACCACUAAUGACAGCUCCAGGCUCUGGAGCCAUAUCCUCACCGCUCCUGUCAGUCCCCGAAGCUGGAGAAAUGCCCACCUUGUCAAAGCCAGCCCCAGAUGCUGAGGCAGUGUCCCCACAGCUAAUGAUGGCUCUGACCUCUGGAGGGAUGCCCACCCAGCUGAUGCCAGCCCAAAGCUCUGGAGCUAUGUCCUCACAGUUAACACAAAGUCUAGAUUCUCAGAUUGUGUCUACUCCACCAACGAGAGCAACAGCCCCCGGGGAGAUGUCUGUAUCGUCAGCAAGAGCCUCAGAUUCUGGAGCAAGGUCGACACUGCAAAUGAGAACCCCAGCCUCUGGCAAUAUGUCCACGCUGCUAAAUACAGUCCCAGACUCUGCAGCACUGUCCACCCCACUGAUGACAGCCACAACCUCUGGAACCAUGUCCGCAGAGCCAGUGCCAACUGCAACCUCUAGAGGAAUGUCCACACACUUAACAACGGCUCAAAUUUCUGGAACCACAUCCACGGGCUUUAUGAAAGUCCCAGCCAGUGGGGCAAAGUCCACACCAAGAAUGAGAGCUCCAGCCUUGGGGGCAAUGUCCAUCCCACCCAGCACAGCCCCCGUCUCUGAAACAGUAUCUAUGCUACAAAUGACCACCCCAGCCUCUGGGUCAGUAUCCACACUGCAAAUAAAAGCGCCUGUCUCUGGAGCAACAUCUAGGUCACAAAGGAGAGCCACAGCCUCGAGAGUGACAGCUGGACCACAAAUGAGAGCCUCUGGAGCCACGUCCACCCCACAGAUGACAGCCAAAGCCUCUGGAUCCAUGUCCUCACUAUUGACGAGAGACACAGCCCCAGGAGUGAUGUCCGUGCCACCGAUGAAAGCUACAGCCUCAGGAGCAUUAUCCAAGCCACUAACAACAUCCAAAGCCUCAGAAGCAGUGUUCAUGCAGCAAAUGACAACCGCAGCUUCUGGAGAGAUCUCCACAAUGCUAAUGAGAGACAUAGCUUCUGGAGCCAUGUCCAUGCCACAGAUGACAGACGCUGCCUCUGCCGGGAUGUCCACACCACUAAUGAGAGCCCCAGCCUCUGGAGACGUGUCCACACCACAAAUGACAGCCGCAGCCUCUGGAAGCAUGUCCAUGCCCCUAACGAGAGCCCCGGGCCCUGGAACCAUGCCCACAGUGCUAAUGAGACCCACAGUCUCUGGAAAGAUGCCAAGUCAGCCAGUAGGCACUCAAGACUUUGGGGGGAUGUCCAUGUCAUUCAAAAGAUUCAUGACCUCUGGAGGGAUGUCCACAAUGCAGAUGCAAGCCCCAGCCUCUGAAGUGAUGUCCACACCAAAAAUUAGAGCCCCAAGCUUUGGGGCAGCAUCCACACCCCUGAUGAGAGCCUCAAACCCUGGAGAGGCAUCCACACUUCUCACAAGAGCUUCACCCUCUGGAGAAAUGUCCUCAGCACUAACAAGACCCCCAACUUCUGGGGAGAUAGCCACCACCCCUCUGAGAGCCCCAGCUUAUGGAGCAAUGUCUACUCCGCAGAGAACAGCCACAGCCUCUGGCAUGAUGUCCAUGCCACAAAUGAGGGCUCCAAUCUCUGGGCCGAUGUCCACACCACUCAUGAGAUCCACGGCCUCUGGAGUGAUGUCCAUGCCUCAAAUGACAGCCGUGGCCUCUGGAGGGGUGUCCAUGCCAUUGUUGAGGGCCCCAGCCUCUGGAGCAACAUCUGCACCACAGAUGCCCACAGCAGCAUCUGCAGAGGUGUGCACGCUAUCCAUGCGAGCCCCCAGCUUGGGAGUGAUGUCGCCGCCAUUAUUAAGGGCUCCAGUCUCUGGAAUUAUGUGCACACCCCCGAGGAGACCCUCAGUCUCUGAAGAUGUGUCCACAGAGUUCAUGAGAGCUCCAGCCUCUGGAAAGAUGGCCACUGCACAAACCACAGCCAUGGCCUCGGGAGGGAUGUCCAAGCCAUUCAUGAGAGCCGUGGCCUCUGGAGUAACACCCAUGCCACUGAUGUCUGCCAUGGCUUCUGGAGAGACAUCCAUGCCACUAAUGAAAAGCCUGUCAUCUGGGGCAAUGUCCACACUGCAAACAAGAGUUGUGAGUUCUGGAUCAACGUCCUUGCCACAAACGACAUACGCAACCUCAGGAAAGAUGUCCACACCGCCAAUGAGAGCCUCGGCUUCUGGAGCCACAUCCACACCACUUGUGAGAGCCUCAGCUUCCGGAGCCACGUCCAUACCACUUAUGAGAGCCUCAGCUUCUGGAGCCACAUCCACACCACUUGUGAGAGCCUCAGCUUCCGGAGCCACGUCCAUACCACUUGUGAGAGCCUCAGCUUCCGGAGCCACAUCCACACCACUUAUGAGAGCCUCAGCUUCUGGAGCCACAUCCACACCACUUAUGAGAGCCUCAGCUUCCGGAGCCACAUCCACACCACUUGUGAGAGCCUCAGCUUCCGGAGCCACAUCCAUACCACUUAUGAGAGCCUCAGCUUCCGGAGCCACGUCCACACCACUUAUGAGAGCCUCAGCUUCUGGAGCCACAUCCAUACCACUUAUGAGAGCCUCAGCUUCUGGAGCCACAUCCACACCACUUAUGAGAGCCUCAGCUUCUGGAAUGAUGUCCAUGCCACUUCUGAGACCCAUAUCCUCUGGGGGGAUGUCCAUGCCACUAAUGAGGGCCACAGUCCCAGCAGCCAUGUCUGCAUCCCAGAUGGCAGCCCCAGCCCCUGGAAUGAUGUCCACCCUGGGAAUCAAAGCCACAGACUCUGGGGAAACAUCUGCCCCUCGCAUCAAUGUCACAGCCUCUGGAUCAAAGUCCACACCACACGCGACGACCACCCCCCCAAAAACAGUAAAGCCACCAUCAGAGGAAGUCCCAUCUUUUGGCAUGCUGACCCCAGCACUCUGUUACCUCUUAGAAGAACAAGAAGCAGCCCGGGGUUCACGCCCUGUGGAAGAGGAGGUGGAGAUUGAUGAGGAGAAGCAAAUGAAGGGAUUUUUGAAUGAUUCAGAGAAAAUGGCUUUUCUGGUGUCUCUUCAUCUGGGGGCAGCAGAGAGGUGGUCCAUCUUGCAGAUGGAGGUAGGAAACCCCCUCACCCGUGAAGAUAAAUCUUUCCUGAGAAGAUCUCAGGGCUUAUAUGACUCCCUGUCUGAAAUUGACAUCCUCAGUGCGGUUCUCUGCCAUCCCAAGCAGGGCCAGAAGUCGGUCAGGCAGUAUGCCACUGACUUCCUUCUGCUGGCCCGACAUUUGUCUUGGUCCGAUGCCAUUCUGCGGACCAGGUUCCUGGAAGGACUCUCUGAAGCUAUUGCCACCAAAAUGGGCCGGAUCUUCCUGAAGGUGGCUGGCAGCCUAAAGGAGCUGAUAGAUAGGUCUCUCUAUACCGAGUGCCAGCUGGCCGGAGAGAAGAAUUCCCGAGGCAGCUCCAGCCAGGUUCUGACAUCACCCUGUAAGCGGAAUAGUGAGGAGGCAAUGGAGAAUGAACUGAAUCCCCAGCAGCAGACCGAGGAGCACCAGCAUGUUCCCAAACGCUGUUACUACCUGAAAGAGCAUGAAGACCCUCAAGAGGGUCUGCACGACCACCUUCGAAAGAGCACAGGCCAUCAGAAGGCCCCCACUAACAAGUAAUGCUACCUGGACUCUUCUCCUGUGAUAUCCAAGUUGGCUGCUAACUUGAGGACUGGUUCCUAGACUCAUUUCAUGCAAUUAUAUCAUUAAAACUUGUGGCCUUUCCCCCUUCAGCACCCUCUCCAGGUGCAUCCCACCCUAUCCCCCACUUGGUUGACUUGACCUUCUCUUUCACCCCACAUGCCUUUAACCUGCCCCAACAAUCAGAAUGUGGACUUCAAGAAUGUUCAGUGUAUGAAGUUCCGAACUCCCAUUACCAACAAGGACAGUGCUAGUUCUUGGUCCAGGGAGAAGUCUAGGCAGGAGAAACUAUGUCCUACCUCAAAAACACCUUAGAGUGUCUUGCCACAUGUCAUCAGGCAAACUUGAGGAAGCCCUGGUCCCAUUUCACCUGGCAAGGGAGCCCAUAAGGAGAGUGAUGCCCACUCCAAUACCAUCCUUUUCAUCCAGUAUACUUGUCCCUAUAUGCCCCAACUCACAGCACUUAAAUUUGGUCUCCAAGGCCCUUGUCUUGUUUAUAGUCUCCAUCCUGAACCAUUUGUUUUGACGCAUAGUAAUAAUCUUAGUAAUAGCUAAUGUUUAUUGUUUAUGUACUAUGUGACAGGUAGUGGGCUAAACUCUUGACAAGCAUCAUCUCACUACAUUCUUACCGUAACCCAACUUGUUCUUCUGUUUCAACGUUUGAAGUCUUGAUCUAUUGUCAGUGGCCAUUGUCUUGUCCCUCAGUGUGAAAUUUCUAGCUCUGACCUUUGGGUGACCUCCUCAGUUGUUAAUUGCCCUCACUCCCCUUGGCUAUUGUGCUUUGUGGCCAGCACUCUUGAUAAAGAUCUUGGUCUUUAAACAGGCAUAGAUAGAACAUAAUGUGAGCAGUGUUUGCCUUAAUGUGGUGGGAUUAUGGGUGUUUUAAUGUUCUUCUUUUUACUUCUCUGUACUUUCCAGAUUCUCUACAGUAAGCAUGUAUUACAUUUGUAAUCGUUAAAGUAAAUAAAGUUCAUUUACGAAAAAAAGAAUUAACUGUG